rnacentral:lncRNA from 1 species
GAGAGAGAAAGAGGUGGAGAGAGAGAGAGAGAGAGAGAGAGAUCCUGUUAUGUGGCUACACUGUUUUGACGUAAAGGUACUGUAGAGAUAGUGAUGAUGAUGACACUGUGUUGCUGUACAGCUUGUUCUCCUGAUGUGACUCCCAGCCAGACUUCAGUAUCAGACACAAUGUCCCAGACUGUAUCAGACGUAUGUUGACUGAGAGAGAAAACAGUCUUUGACCUGCUGGACUUUUAGUAAAUACUGAGUGCGCUCAGGAAACAUGUCUGGAGCCAUCACAUGAAGACUUCCAAGAUGAUGUGAUGAAGUCCAGACUGACUCGAUACUGACGUCUCUGAACGGAGAAAGGCCUGGAUCAGGAACUCCUGCUGUACACGGUACACCACCCAGGAAGGUAUGACCACUGACAUGUUACCAUGGUAGCCCCAUUACCACCACCCAGGAAGGUAUGACCACUGACAUGUUACCAUGGUAACCUCAUUACCACCACCCAGGAAGGUAUGACCACUCUGACAUGUUACCAUGGUAACCCCAUUACCACCACCCAGGAAGGUAUGACCACUCUGACAUGUUACCAUGGUAACCCCAUUACCAACACCCAGGAAGGUAUGACCACUCUGACAUGUUACCAUGGUAACCCCAUUACCACCACCCAGGAAGGUAUGACCACUCUGACAUGUUACCAUGGUAACCCCAUUAAGGGUUAAGGUUAGGGUUAUCCCUGAGAUAGCCUCUAAGGGUUAAGGUUAGGGUUAUCCCUGAGAUACACUCUAAGGAUUAGGGUUAUCCCUGAGAGAGCCUCUAAGGGUUAGGGUUAUCCCUGAGAGCCUCUAAGGGUUAGGGUUAUCCCUGAGAGAGCCUCUAAGGGUUAGGGUUAUCCCUGAGAGAGCCUCUAAGGGUUAGGGUUAUCCCUGAGAGCCUCUAAGGGUUAGGGUUAUCCCUGAGAGCCUCUAAGGAUUAGGGUUAUCCCUGAGAUAGCCUCUAAGGGUUAGGGUUAUCCCUGAGAUAGCCUCUAAGGAUUAGGGUUAUCCCUGAGAGCCUCUAAGGAUUAGGGUUAUCCCUGAGAGCCUCUAAUGAUUAGGGUUAUCCCUGAGAGCCUCUAAGGAUUAGGGUUAUCCUUGAGAGAGCCUCUAAGGGUUAGGGUUAUCCCUGAGAGAGCCUCUAAGGGUUAGGGUUGUCCCUGAG